GAUGAACGCUGGCGGCGUGCCUAAUACAUGCCAGUCGAGCGAACGGACGAGAAGCUUGCUUUUCUGAUGUUAGCGGCGGACGGGUGAGUACACGUGGAUAACCUACCUAUAAGACUGGGAUAACUUCGGGAAACCGGAGCUAAUACCGGAUAAUAUUUUGAACCGCAUGGUUCAAAAGUGAAGGACGGUCUUGCUGUCACUUAUAGAUGGAUCCGCGCUGCAUUAGCUAGUUGGUAAGGUAACGGCUUACCAAGGCAACGAUGCAUAGCCGACCUGAGAGGGUGAUCGGCCACACUGGAACUGAGACACGGUCCAGACUCCUACGGGAGGCAGCAGUAGGGAAUCUUCCGCAAUGGGCGAAAGCCUGACGGAGCAACGCCGCGUGAGUGAUGAAGGUCUUCGGAUCGUAAAACUCUGUUAUUAGGGAAGAACAUAUGUGUAAGUAACUGUGCACAUCUUGACGGUACCUAAUCAGAAAGCCACGGCUAACUACGUG
rnacentral:rRNA from 1 species